UACGGAGGAUCCGAGCGUUAUCCGGAUUUAUUGGGUUUAAAGGGAGCGUAGGUGGAUUGUUAAGUCAGUUGUGAAAGUUUGCGGCUCAACCGUAAAAUUGCAGUUGAAACUGGCGGUCUUGAGUACAGUAGAGGUGGGCGGAAUUCGUGGUGUAGCGGUGAAAUGCUUAGAUAUCACGAAGAACUCCGAUUGCGAAGGCAGCUCACUGGACUGCAACUGACACUGAGGCUCGAAAGUGUGGGUAUCAAACAGG
rnacentral:rRNA from 1 species